AUAAUAAUAAUAAUUUCAAACAUCUGGUACAGGCCAAGUGAGUGGAGUAACAUAAAAUAAAUUAAUUAAAGAACAUGUAAUUGACAAAGAAAUAUAAAAUGCAUGGCAUUGAAGACAAUGAAAUAGUAAAGGAUACUUUGGCCACCAGAUGGCCCCAAACGUACACCAUAUCGAGGAAAUCCCCAAAUAAUACCUUUAGACCACAUUAUCUUUGGAAGGCCAUAUUUCUUUCGCUCAGACUAAAUACUUGGGGUUUCGAGUCUGACGACAGCACGAGGGCGUGGCUUGUUCGCAAGGUCAAGGAUCAUGCGCCGUUUACAUGCCCCGAAAAGACGGCGAAACAGCCCCAGGGGAACAACGUCGAUCUAGAUUACUUAAAGGUCCUCUGUUUCCUGUGCAUAAUGGCAGAGGCAGACCAGACCAGAAAUACUCUAGAAUGGCUCCCUGGUUGUUUUAAAGUGCUGAACAUCAAAAAAAAAAACACUGUGUCUGGCACCAAUAAAUCGGACCUCAGCACUGUACUAGAAUGCCACAAGAGAGAAACACUGACAUCUUUCAUUGUUUGGUCUGAUGAUAAAAGAAAGAAAGAAAAAGGGCCACAUCGUCUGGUUUGACAGGUGGAAGAUUUGUCAGAGGAUGUACCACUUACCACACGUACCACCUACCUAAGCAUUGUUGCAGACCAUGUACACCCUUUUAUGGAAACUGUAUUCCCUGGUGGCUGUGGCCUCUUUCAGCAGGAUAAUGCUUCUGCCACAAAGCAAAAAUGGUUCAGGAAUGGUUUGAGGAGCACAACGAGUUUGUGGUGCGUUCUCCCAAAUGAAAUGGAUUUUCCUUCCAAUCAAUGUGAGCGACAAUCACUGGAUACUUCUGGUAGCUGAUGUUUCAAAUAUGGAAGUAUGAAUACUGGACUCAAUGUUGGGAAACAAUGUCUUGUAUGUUGAUAUGUGGAGGAGGUAUAUGGCUGUGAGGUACAGUCAUACCAAUGAAUUGGGAGGAUUCUGGGAAUAUGGUGGUCUCUGCUCUGCACCACAAAAAGAUGCCAGCAGUUGGGGGGCUUUUGUACUACUGAAUGCUCUUGCCCUGACGAGAGGCAUCAGUCCAAGCCAGCUGACACAGCGCCAUGCAGUGGAAAUGAGGAAGUUUGUGUACCACAAACUCAAACAAAAUGCAUUAUGUUAAAGGUUUAGGUAACCCAAAAAUGAAAAUUCUGUCAUUAAUUACUCGUCCUCAUGUCAUUCCACACCCGUAAGACCUUCGUUCAUCUUCAGAACACAAAUUAAGAUAUUUUUGAUAAAAUCUGUGAGGUUUCUGAUUCCCAAGAGACAGCAACAUAAUUACCACAUUCAUAGAUGCAAACUCCUCACCUUUCAGUGACAACUCCCCUUUUUGAGAUCAAAAUGGGUCACUUAUGGGAUUUGCAUAGAUCCAAUGUUUUUAUGGGGUGCGGGGGUCUGAGAUGUGGGAACGGUGAAGAGAGAGAGGGCAAACAGUUUGCAGUUUAGCUCAGUAUUGCCGUCUAAUCAGCCAAUAUUGUCUUAAAUAGCCAUAGCACUUCAUCUUUUUAUAACAUGAGGUUUUGACCAAAUGUAGCCUAUUCAAUCUUGAUUUUGGUGAAAUGUUGCAACAUUUUUUUGUGUGUGUGUGAAAUUACAGUUUUGGACAUACAUGGUAAUAACAAAUAAAUUAAAAAAUCAAAGUAACUACAAAUGAGCAUGUAGUAAAAGUAGUAAAAACAUAAUAGAAAUAAAAACUAAAAUAGUCAAUGUGACUACAGUGGUUCAGCCUUAAUGUUAUGAAACAAAAAUAAUGACUUUGUUUAAUUUCUUCUCUUACCUGUCCUACUCUGUUUACGUUGUAGAGACAGAGCAGUGCUUCCGGGUUCUACAUCAGAACGCCGGCUCAUAAUUGGUCUGCCUCAGUAUCACACACAUGCGUUGUGUUGCUCAUGUGAAGAACAUCGGCCAAAUUGAGAUUCUCGUUCUGAUGUAUAACCUGGAAGCGCUGCACUGUCUCUACAACUGUCUCUGUAAUUAAUGACAGAAAUUAAAUUUUUGGGUGAACUAACCCUUUAAUAUUUGUUCUUUUCUUCCCUUGAGUGCUUUCCCUACUUUUUACUUUCUUUCAUAGUGUCACAGCACCUGACUCUGUGUUUACCGUUACGUCAUUGACCCCAUCUCCAAUGUGUUUGCUGCACCGUGGCAUAAAAUUGGAGUCAAGACGCCACUCGCGAGGCCUUCUGUUGUUGUGUUAUAGCCUCUGUCUGUUUUCUAGGGACUACAGUGUAGACCCUGUGAGAUUAGAUUAGCAUGUUCCCAGUUUGUGUAACUGUACUCUUGUGUAUCUGUAAUCAUUCAUCUUGCCUCUCAUGUCCCUUGACCAAUUCUCCUCCCCUUCCCAAUUUGUUACUCAUUUGUAAUUUGUAAUAACUUUUUUUGCAUAUGUGUAAAUAGUAUAUUUUAUUUUUUAUUUCUAUUUCUUCAUUGUAAACACAUUUUUCCCUUCUCAUGCUAUUUUCAUACCCUUACAUAUUGUAAAUAAAUCAUUUGCUUGUUCAGACUUGUGUCCUUGCCUUGUACACAUCACCUGGUUAUGACAUAUUUGUGUAUGUGUCUUCUCCCAAGUUUAAUGUUACAACCCUUUACCCCUUGAUUCAACACUAUCAGGGGUUGUAACAGUUGGUUUUGUGUUCCAGGAGUAGCAGAGGGUUACUUAAGUUUCAUUGAGUUUGUUGUUCUCUGGGUGCAUAUAAAUGAAUUGCAUUCCAAAUAACAAUUUAACCACACAAAAUACUCUUGUCUUUUGUAUUAACAUGCAAAUUGUGUAAACUUGAUUACCUUUAGAUAUGUUACUGAACACCAUGUAUUAUUUUGUACUAUGAAUUUGUGUGAGAGACCAGUGAAGAGUGCAUGUUUAACAUUUUAUUGAAACAUCUAUAAAUGCCUCCUAAGCUAAUAGAUGUGAUUGACACAUUUAACUGCCUUCUAUAAACGUUUACUUUUGAAUAAACAGUCCUUUUAACAAUACAAUGUUAAUAUAGUUCAGAUUUAUUACACUG